GCGGCGGUUCCCUAGCCCGGUAGGGGGGUGGCCUGCUAAGCCACUGGCCCAUUGGGCCGCGCGGGUUCAAAUCCCGCCCGCCGCG
rnacentral:tRNA from 1 species